UUUAAUUUACCACCACCCCCACCCACUUUUAUUUUUAAUUUUAAAGGAGGCUACUGAAAAAUUUAAGAUUACAUAUGUGGCUCUCAUUCCACUUUAUUGAAACAGUACUGAUGUAGACCUUGAUUUACACUUUGCAAAGCAGUUUUCCCAUACACCUGCUGCACACCAUACACUUUUCCCAUGCACCUGUUAGGAAUCAUGGACCUGGGCGGUUCAAUAAUAGACUAAAUUCUAGUCUAGCCAAAGCCCUACGCGACACUGAACCUAGUAAGAGUUUAACACUGUAAUUGGAGUUACUCUGUCCUAGAUCCCGGCUCACACUCACAUAAGGGACCUCCCUCACCCUAUCCUACCCCCCCGAAUUCUGAACCAGCUCCCCCAGCGGGGGUCCCAGAGCUUUGGACAAUCCCAAAAAGGGCGCCGGCGCUGCUGCACCACAGGGCAGUUAUGCCCAAUUUAAACCUUGAUCUCUCAGUGUCUUUAGCCUUUUCUGUUACAAAGAAAAAACAAAAAUCCCAUCACGGAUCAACUGAAGUCAUAUUUAACAAGAGUUACUCCCCUCUGACAAUGCUUUGCCUGCAUAGGUCCACUACUGCUCGAUUUCAUUCUGUAGACUGCACCCAGGGCCAGGUUUCGACAUCUGGAAGUGAGUUUUCAGCAGACAGCUCCAUCAGGGCUGUAACGAUAGCUGAAGGGGAAAGAAGGAGCUCAUAUCUUGCAGAAUCAGCUCUUCCCUAGACCAUGACCAAAGGCCGAUUCCCAGUAGUGUCUUCCGCGGAAAAACGCGAGACCCGCUCUCCAGGAACCCAUCUCUGCCCAGCGGCGCCCUGGCACCGCAACCUCGCCUCGCAGCCCCGCGGACCAACACAGGCCCCGCCCCCAGAGCCGUCCGGAAAACCUGGACCGUGGAGAUCCGCAUGGGGGGACGCCGUGCAGUCGUGAGGCCAAGCUGAGCAUGCUCGGAGAGCCGGCCUGUCGCGGGAGGAAGCGG
rnacentral:lncRNA from 10 species